rnacentral:rRNA from 1 species
GGAAUUACUGGGCCGUAAAAGCGCACGCAGGCGGUCUGUCAAGUCGGAUGUGAAAUCCCCGGGCUCAACCUGGGAACUGCAUUCGAAACUGGCAGGCUGGAGUCUUGUAGAGGGGGGUAGAAUUCCAGGUGUAGCGGUGAAAUGCGUAGAGAUCUGGAGGAAUACCGGUGGCGAAGGCGGCCCCCUGGACAAAGACUGACGCUCAGGUGCGAAAGCGUGGGGAGCAAACAGGAUUAGAUACCCUGGUAGUCCACGCCGUAAACGAUGUCGAUUUGGAGGUUGUGCCCUUGAGGCGUGGCUUCCGGAGCUAACGCGUUAAAUCGACCGCCUGGGGAGUACGGCCGCAAGGUUAAAACUCAAAUGAAUUGACGGGGGCCCGCACAAGCGGUGGAGCAUGUGGUUUAAUUCGGUGCACGCGAAAAACCUUA